ACAUGAUGGACCUUGAAUAACAGCUCAACAGUAAUGCUGUAUAAUUGCUUUUCAUCCUUUCUAUCAGCAGUGAAGCUUUAAAACAUUGAUCAAAGAUGAUGACUAUCACAAAGUGCUUAGAGUGCAGCACAUUGUUAAAUUUCCUGAGCUUCUGAAAUAAUUAUAGCAUGAGCAAGCAUAAAGAUGAUUCUCCCACCUUCACCCGCCUUCCUCAAAUGAUUUUCUAGCCAAAGUAGAGGGGAUUAAAAGAAAUCUGACAUGAAUGAGCUACAUUAGAACAUCAAUGUCAAAAGAUAUCAUGGGCACCUGCCUCAAAAGGAUAAAAAUACCGUGAAUAAUUUCACAUUAUUUCACACCAGAAUUCGGUCACCCUCCUUGCUGACAAACAAGCUGCUCAAGUAAAGGACACAGAGCAUACCCAGUGGAUAAGAAAGUACAACACAGAAAUUAGAAAUGCUCCCUGAUGAUGUCAAAAAGAUAGCUCUUGUCUGCUAAGACUAUAUAGCUAAAGAAAUGAUGGAGACAAACAAACAAAAAAAAAGCUUUUUACCCAUUUAUGGGAAUAAUAGAUAAAAGACUUUUUUCCAAGAGUUUAGUAGUUUAUGUUAGAUUAGUUCCUUGAACUCAUGGUUUCAUGAGAGUUUAACUGUAUUAAUGUAUUCAUUUAAUAUAUUUAAAAUGAAUUCUUGAAAUCCUCGUAAGAACCAGACAUGGUAUAGAAACUCAGGUGAGGUGCUGGUUUUUUUUAAUUUAUUUUUUAUUACUCAAAUGAAUUUAUCACAUCUGUAGUUGUAUAAUGAUCAUAACAAUCUAAUUUCACAGGUGAGGUGCUAUUGCAAUGGUUGCAUGUGGGCUCCACACCAUACUCUUUCAACCUAUCUGAUUUCAGCACAAGCACCUCCUUGCCAGUUUCCUAGAUGAAAUGCUCAUGCUGGCGACUCUGUGUUAUAGAAUGUCACUCAAUUUGAAUUAGAGGAAUUAGGAAGUAAGGUGAAUUUAAUGACUCUCAAUGAGUAGUAUGAGUGGAUAGAUGUUUUAUCUCCCAUGUUCUCUGGAAGGAUAAAUUAAGAUCCAUUCAGUGUGGUUUAUCAAAUGAUUCCCUGAGAGUAGUUUAGCUCAUGUUGCUCACGACAGUACCAGAUGAUUGGAACUUAAUCUGGCUUUCUUUUUAUUUUAUCAUUCUUAAGAAAAAAGUUUAAAAUUGAAUAGGUGAUUUAUAAUGUUGUGUUAGUUUCAACUGUACAGCAAAGUGAUUCAGUUGUAUAUAUGUAUGUGUGUUUGUGUAUAUAUAUUUAUAUAUAUUUUUCAGGUUCUUUUCCCUUAUAUAGUACGAAUGUUUCCGUGUACUAUACAGUAGGCCCUUGUUGGUUAUCUUCUUUAUACAUAGCAGUCUGUAUAUCUUAAUCUCAAAUGCCUAAUUUAUCUGCCCCCACUCCCCUCAUGUUUUCCCUUUGGGAACCAUAAGUUUGUUUUCAAUGUCUGUGGGGCUAUUUCUAUUUUGUAAGUAAGUUCAUUUCUAUGUUUCCCCUGGCUUUCUUUUGUAUCUCUUCAGUUUUCCCAUGUCUCUAUUUCAUUACUCUCCCCCUCCCCUAAACCUAUAUGUUUCCUAGUGCUUGUUUUAGGAUCCACUUUUAAGAAGGAGCCUAAGCCAAAACAGUUGCUACUGGAAAUAGCAAUAGAAAGUAGCCUCUUUAGAUGGGAUUCUGAAAUUGGUUUCCUCAUGGGUCAAAUGGUAACAAGGACCACAUUGUUGGUGAUAAACGAGGUGCUGAAAACUCCUUGUUUGCUUUAUCACCACAGUUUUAAAGACUCAGUAGAGGAGAGCUGAAUGAAAAUCAAGUGGAAGGAGGCACACAGGUUUAUGUAAUAGCUUGAAAGCUAUUAGGGGAAACCCUUUAUAAGGGUUGUGGAGGCAGCUUACCCUUUUCAACCCUUCUGGAAGUCUUGAAGUAGAAGAGUAGCAGUCUCAGUUCAGCCAGCCAUCUGCUCAGGACUUGCUAGAAAUUUAAGAUGGCCUUCUUGCAGUGUUUAUUACCUGCAACUGGACGAUAGAUAAAAACUGAAAAAAGCAGGUCCAGGAUUUGAUUAUAGGGGUUGAACAAAUGCAAAAUACAUGUAAUGCUCAACUUCUGGGAGUUUUCUGACAUUAGAGUUUUGGUAGUGACCCUGAGAACUUGGAUGUCUGGGAAGAACUGACCUGAGAAUGUUGGACCUCCAGAUUUUCCUAGUAUCUCUGGACUUUGAGAACAGCGUCUUUCCUUGACUGAGGAUAAUAUGAAGAAAUUGCCUGAGGUGAGUCCCUUGAAAUAUGUUUUUUUCCUUCCCCCUUAAGAUCAGCCACAUCUUAAAAUUUGACUCAAAUCUUAGUAUGGUCCAAGGAGGGAAAUGUAGUCUCUGCUACUUGUAAAAUACCUCAUCAGACUAGUGGCACAACUGGGCUAAUAUGUAAAUAUGCACAAGCAGAAACUCAGAAACUUAUAUAGGAAUGGAUAUUGAAAAUAGUUUUACUGGAUAGGUACAUGGUAUAAAGCUGGAAAAGUAAGGCUUUGUUUACCUGGAGGCAUAAUUUAGUGAAAUACAUUCUGUGUGAACUCCUGGAGCUGGUUUAAUGGGAGCUGGUUUAAUGUCAUACUGGGAGGGUUACUUAAACAUUGAAUGCAGUUUACAGUAAAUGGUGUGGACAUGCCAGGAUCUCUUCAGCCAAGUACUGUGGAAGAGGUCAAAGUGGUGGGCUUGAGAAAGUUGGUUUAUUGCUUGAGACUGGAGUUCCCUUAACCUAUGUCCUUUGGAAAACCUAGAGAACAGUAAAGUGGUAUGCCAUGCACCAGAGAGGGUCAUCAAUAUAUUUGAGAAGGUUAAUGUUGGAUUUUUCUGUGGGCCAGAAUUCACAGUGAGUGAUGCUUCCAUAGAGCUUGGUGUGAUAGAUUCCUGGCCUAUUAGAAGAUAUAUCAGGUGAUGAUACUUAGAAGAGGCAAGACACACAUGAUGGUAAUAAUGAAAAUGAAGCAGAAGGGUAGGGUAUCUCUACUCAAAGAAUUCUAGGGCUAUGUCUAUUAGACCAUGGUGGUUCAAGAGAGGAAAGAGAUAGGCAGGAGAACAAGCCACCCAUUGACUUAUUUAACUGAAAUAAGUUGAUAUCAGUUGUUUCCAUUGGAAAUUGUGAUCUCUUGUUCAAUUAUCAGAUUUAAACCACUUAGACCCAGAGUCCACUUAUUAAAGGUAAAUGUAGAUACUCCUAGGAAGGGCCUCUGAAAUGUUACUACAUGCCUAUGAUGUUAAUAUUUCCCCAAUACUUGCAUUAAGGACUUGUAGCUAUUUGAAAGAGUAAUGACACCAUGGGGAAAGGAGAAUUCCUUUGAAUUGUUAAAUAUAGGAUCUGAGCAAAUACUGAUACCAGGGAGACCUAAAUGCAAUCACCACCCCUAUUUAAAGGUGGGUCUGAUGGAAGCCAGGUGCUCUAUAGAAUUCUAGUCCAAGUCCAAAAAAUAUACAGACCCAACCUUUUCUUGACUCUUAAGUAUAUAUUUGUGUUGGAUAUAUGUAUCAACUGGUAUAACUUUUGCAUUGAUUACCUGGACAUAGAAUAGAAUCAAGAUAGAAGAAGGCCUUAAAUUUAUCCAUUCCUGGCUAAAAAAGUAAAUCAGAAGCAAUAUUUAAAAAAAAAACAAAACUGAGUAGAAUUGCAAAUAUUAAUGCUCCCCUCAAAAACUGAAAGAUGUAGUAAACUCUACCCCCCCAUUAUUUUAAUCCCCUUUAAAUUAGCCCUUUGGACCCCUCCAAAAAUCAGAUGAAUUCCAGUUGAUGACACUGGACCAUGUAAUUUUAGUGAGUGGUUGCCUCAAUUACAGUCAUGUUGCUUAAUGUGACAUCUUUAUUAGAAGAAAUCAGUGCUGUCCCUGGCAUGUUGUAUGCUUUAUUGGUUUAGAAAAUGUACAUAUAAGUGAAUCAAAUGUAUAUAGUUGUUAUAUGAGUAGAACAGCAGUGGCCUAGAGGGCUACCACUAUAGGGGAAUUGAAGUGUAGAAUCAUAAAGUUGAUAAAACUAUGAAUGUCUUCUGGAAAUCCACUAUCUUCAUUUCUAUGUAUAGUAACAUUUUUGGGGAACCCUAGUCAGUGCAUUACAGAUUGGAAAGAAGUACUAAAACUUCUUUAUUCACAGAAAAUAAAAAAUGUAUACAUGUAAGAUUCUAAGGAAUCUACAGAAACAUCUCUAAGAACAAAUAAGUAGAUAGCUAAAUCAAGUUCAAAGGACAUAGGGAUCAUAUUUAGAAAUCCAUUGUUUUUAUAUACUAGGCAUAAAAAAUUUGGGUAAUGAAAUGAAAAGGCAAUAUCAAUGGCUAUAACAUCAAAAUAUUGAAUUUAUAAGAAUACAUUUAGCAAAAUAUGUGAAAGACCAAUACAAAGACGGAGUUCCCAUCAUGGCACAGUGGUUCACAAAUCCUACUAGGAACCAUGAGGUUGUGGGUUCCAUCCCUGGCCUUGCUCAGUGGGUUAAGGAUCCAGCAUUAUCUUGAGCUGUGGCGUAGGUCUCAGACCUGGCUCGGAUCCCGCGUUGCUGUGGCUGUGUGGUGUAGGCCCGUGGCUACAGCUCCGAUUCAACCACGAGCCUGGGAACCUCCAUAUGCCCCAGGUGUGGCCCUGAAAAGACAAAAAAUGUUUUGUGAAAUAAUGAAAUUAUUAAAAAUUGGCAAGAUAUUAAAUGGCUAUUAUUAAAGUCAUUAUGAUACUUGAAAUACACUUUUUGUAUUAACUAUUGUUAACUAGAAAAGUGAUUUAGCAUUUUCAGAUUAAAAUCCAAAACCACCCAAUCAUACUAUAUGUCUUUACACAAAACUAUACCUUUUCUGGUGAAUAAUAUUUUAUAAAAACAGAAAAACAAUGAAGUAGAAAAAAGGAUACCUAAACUUUUAAUUGUAUUUUUUUUUAAAUUGUUAGACAUCUUAAUGGCUUCAGUAAUGACAUACUAUCACAUAACUUCAAAAUAAUGAAAUUGGGAGUUCCUGUUGUGGCUUAGUGGUGAUGAACCCAACUAAUAUCCAUGAGGAUUUGGGUUCAAUCCCUGGCCUUGCCCAGGUAGGUUAAGAAUCCAGCAUUGCCAUGAGUUGUGGUGCAGGUCACAUAGUUGGCUGAGAUCCUACGUUGCUAUGGUUGUGGCGUAGGCCAGCAGCUCCAACUUCAAUUUGACCCCUGGCCUGGGAACUUCCAUGUGCUGCAGGUGUGGCCCUAAAAAGACCAAAAAAAAAAAAAAGAAAGAAAAAA
rnacentral:lncRNA from 1 species